rnacentral:rRNA from 1 species
AUUGAACGCUGGCGGCAUGCCUUACACAUGCAAGUCGAACGGUAACGGGCCUUCGGGUGCCGACGAGUGGCGAACGGGGGAGUAAUACAUCGGAACGUGCCCGAUCGUGGGGGAUAACGAGGCGAAAGCUUUGCUAAUACCGCAUACGAUCUACGGAUGAAAGCAGGGGACCGCAAGGCCUUGCGCGGACGGAGCGGCCGAUGGCAGAUUAGGUAGUUGGUGGGAUAAAAGCUUACCAAGCCGACGAUCUGUAGCUGGUCUGAGAGGAUGAUCAGCCACACUGGGACUGAGACACGGCCCAGACUCCUACGGGAGGCAGCAGUGGGGAAUUUUGGACAAUGGGCGCAAGCCUGAUCCAGCCAUGCCGCGUGCAGGAUGAAGGCCUUCGGGUUGUAAACUGCUUUUGUACGGAACGAAAAGCCUUCUUUUAAUACAGGAGGGUCAUGACGGUACUGUAAGAAUAAGCACCGGCUAACUACGUG